rnacentral:rRNA from 1 species
UACGGAGGGUGCAAGCGUUAUCCGGAUUCACUGGGUUUAAAGGGUGCGUAGGCGGAUUAGAAAGUCCGUUGUGAAAUCUCUGAGCUUAACUCGGAAAUUGCGGUGGAUACUAUUAGUCUUGAAUACUGUGGAGGUUAGCGGAAUAUGUCAUGUAGCGGUGAAGUGCAUAGAUAUGACAUAGAACACCAAUUGCGAAGGCAGCUGGCUACACAGAUAUUGACGCUGAGGCACGAAAGCGUGGGGAUCAAACAGG